rnacentral:rRNA from 1 species
CCUACGGGCGGCUGCAGUGGGGAAUAUUGGACAAUGGGCGAAAGCCUGAUCCAGCCAUGCCGCGUGUGUGAAGAAGGCCUUCGGGUUGUAAAGCACUUUCAGUGGGGAAGAAAGCCUUGGGGCUAAUACCCUCGAGGAAGGACAUCACCCACAGAAGAAGCACCGGCUAACUCCGUGCCAGCAGCCGCGGUAAUACGGAGGGUGCGAGCGUUAAUCGGAAUUACUGGGCGUAAAGCGCGCGUAGGCGGUCUGAUAAGCCGGUUGUGAAAGCCCCGGGCUCAACCUGGGAACGGCAUCCGGAACUGUCAGGCUAGAGUGCAGUAGAGGAAGGUAGAAUUCCCGGUGUAGCGGUGAAAUGCGUAGAGAUCGGGAGGAAUACCAGUGGCGAAGGCGGCCUUCUGGACUGACACUGACGCUGAGGUGCGAAAGCGUGGGUAGCAAACAGGAUUAGAUACCCGGGUAGUC